CAGUACCUCUCAUACAGAAAAACGGCUCUUCCAAGCUAGUUAGGGUUUCUUCUGUUUGGCUUUCUUCUUGAGAAAAAAAAAAAUGGAGGAAAAUCAAAGCAUCCUUCUCUUCUUACAUCAGAAGAAAGUCAAAUACAAAGACUACUUUUCCGUGGAGAUCAUGGAUCAGGUCAAUUUACAUCGAAUCAAUGAUUUACCAGAAACUGAGGAGGGCGUUCUGCAAUACAGUGGCGGAUGCCAUAAUCAUCGGCCUCGAAAUUAACGACAAUGAGAGGGUGUGCCAGAUGAAGAAAGGGAUGCCUUUUAGAAAGAGCUCAUCAGUGAGAACUAUUGAUGCUUUGGAAGUACAAUGAUGCCGCAAAAUCCCCAUAUUUCUCCUUUGGAUGUAAAUGUAAAGAGGAUGAUCAUGAGGGAAUAGCAAGUGGCAAUACAGGCGCCCAAAUAGUCUUCCAUAAAGAUGUUGGUCCUGGAAUUUGCAGUUUGGAUUUGUUCAAUUGAAGCAGAUAUGAGUUGUCAAUACUUGUGGCUUGCACAUUUAGUACUGUGCAAUGUGUAAUUAUAGUAAUUUUGCUAGCUAAAAGUUCACAAUGUGUAAUUGAAUUUAUUUAUUUAUUCUUAUUUAGAAUCAGAUUGAAAUUGCCGAAUCAAUGAUU